GUAGAAUGGAAACUGUAACCCUACAAACAGAAUCCACAACACAAUGUUGCAAUGCAUCUUCUUUAAAGGAGUGCCCCUGUUCAGUCAUUCCAUCCAAAUGGGGCAUUCCACUUCGUUGGCAUAAAUCUCUUUAUUUAUUUUCAUACUGUCCUUCUGCAUUCCAUGACUACUACAAAGCACACUUAAUCCUAUUUGGACUGUUUAGGGGUUUUAAAAAUAUUUUUUGUACUUCUGCAAACCUUGGGAUUCUCCCCAAGUAUCCUGAAACUUCUUGUUUCUCAGUGGCCCCACCUUGGCUACAAUCCUGGCAACAUGUACCAUAUGAGUUAGCUCUCAGAAGGAGCGAUAGUUUAAAUUAUUGGGAAAUUUUGUUUGUGAGGCGUUUUCCAGUAUUUUAGCAAUGUUUGUAUUGAUGUAAAACAUGGAUUUGAAGUCAUUCUGCUUAGUUCACACAAAAGAGAAUUAUUUCUGAGCGUGUGGGAUUUCUUUUUUGCCCUUUGCUGACUGUUGCUUUGUCUCCUUAACAAUGGUAAAAGCAUAUCUUUGGUUGAUAGGAAGGCAGAUAAGAAGAAUGCAUGCCACAUUUAUAAAAGCAUAGAGAUUAGGUAAGGUGCUCUCCCUGUUAAAACUGAUAAUGAAAUGACACGAAACGACACAGAAUACAUACAAAUCUUACCAACGGUCUCAGCAGCCAAUAAACCUCAUAAGAGCUGCAGUUUGAAAGGAGGGACUGGAAUCUCUAAUGGAGAAUUAUUAUGGCCAUCAUCAAACUACAGUCUGCAAUAACUUAGAGAGAGCCUCAGCAGUUAAACCAAAAUCAUAGGGCUGUGCAGUGCUUUUUAUCUUAAAAAAAAAUGUUUAGGGUUACUCUCAUUUUCCUACUCAUAUUGAAAUACUGCCCCUCAAUGAGGCCAAACUUAGAUUCACAAAAUGUUUAGGGGUAUGUGUACCCCUGAUUCCCCCCAGGAAAAAAAGCACUGGUGCUGCGUACACACAAAGUAGUUAAAGCACCCCCACCAGAUUGUAGUUUACUUCACACAGUUACGAUUUCCAGCACCCUUGACAGUUCCCAGGAUCAUCUGCGGGUGGGUGAGUGUGCUUUAAAUGUAUGGUGUGUAUGCAACCAGAUAGAUCCUUAUUAGGCCACUUCCUGAGAGAGCCAGAGGAUUUGCUUUGGGUGCCACCAUACCUGCCAGACAGGCUAUGCUGGUGAAUGCUAUGCCAACAGCCAGCUGAGCCAACCGGGGUUUAAUUGGAUCAUUGGAGUGGCAGAGUCUAAGAAAGUAACUGUUGUGGAAAACCCACCAACACCUCAACAUGCCUCUUCAGUUACUUUUCUUUCCACUUUCUCUCAAAUUCUAAAUCAACUAGAAUAUCUGACAUCUCGAUACAGCUAGAUUUCAGAGGUGUAAAGACAUAUUCCGUCACCCAGGACCAGAUCAGAAUUCUCCCCAUGACUACAAACUUCAGAAAAAAGUCCACGAACUAGGCUAAUAACAACAUGCUGAAUCCAGCAGUGACGCAGCUAAUUUCUCUUCCCCGAAAACAAACUGUGGUGCAAAAGAUAAGGCUGCCUUUCACGGUUCUAUUAUCAAACCACUUUUGCUGGCCCACAAACGGUUACAGCUAGUGAACAGGUUUUGGCACGUACACACAGUGUCUCAUGUGAGGAUCUGCAAAGGCAAGACGGAGGAAGGGGGCACACUAUAUGUAUAUGUGUGUGUGUGUGUGUGUGUGUGUGUGUGUGUGGUUCGGUAUGGCUUCUUCGGCUUGGGAACUAACUCCCAAUAAUUGUUCUCCUUCUCUUAAACCUUUCUACUUUUAUAUUGGCCUAUUGGGGGAAUUAAGUCACUUGAUAUAAUCAAAGAGACCGGCACUUCAGUCACAAGAUUCUGAAUUUUUAGCACCAUGUGGUUUUGGGUGAAGCAGUCUCAUUGUUGAAGUGCAGAAGAAGUGUGGCAUGCAUGGGAAAGGAGCAUACUUUGCUUUGAGAUCAAUUUGAAGGUCAGAACAUGCUUGGAAUUCCAGGCCGGGUGAUGGCGGAUGAUACUAAUACUAUAUAUAAACUACUAUUGCCAUUGUUUUGAUAAACUGCCUUUAGAAGGAACCAAUAUAGCAAUAACUGUUUUACAGGCCACUUAGCACUCUCAUGGGCAGAGAUAAUCAGCUCUGGAGGAAGUAACAACAGUAACAGAGAAACGGAUCAAAUAAAGGCAUAUGAUAUAUUUUAAUUUAACCGCAGAAAAAUCUAAAUUUCUCUCUUGAAUGAUCAAUUGGACAAAUAAAGGCUUUCCUGUCAACUUGUGUCAAGAAUCACGUUCAGAACCUGUGAGCUGAGGGAGACUCACCUUAUGUGCCACCACUCACUUCUGGCCAAAGUAAGCCUUUUAAUCACAAUACAGUAGGGCAGAGCGGAUAAAUUGAUAUUCACUGCCAGUUUAUAAAGGAUUGCAGGUUAGGCUUGCUCACUACUCUGAGCAAGCAGAGGACACUGCUGAUCCUGCUUUGCCUUGUCUACAUAGGGUUGCCAUACGUCCGGGAAUUCCAGGACAUGUCCUCUUUUGUGGGUCCUACAUGCUCGUUUGGGAGGAAUUUUACAUUUUAAAGCAAAUGUCCUGGAAUUUGGGGGUUGUGUGUACGUGUGCAUGCCUGCAUGUGAUUCUGGUUCAGGCUUGGGCUCUGGCGACCUGGGCUCUUGUUCAUGGGCUUGAUGGUGGCAGAGGAGCUAUCGGGCAAUUGCCCUAACAAAGCUCAGCAGAUUUUUACCUCUUGAAAUAAGGCAGUCCUACAACCCAUAAUUCGUGGGUAUUUAUUUAUUUCUGAAAUGUUUAUUCCAUCACAUUUCCAAAGAGUUCAGGGUAGUGUUAGGGUUUCCUGUCCGCUCGAUUUUAUCAUUACAACCCGCUAUAAGGUUAGGUUAGGCUAGGCUUAGAGAGAAGAAAGAAGAGGAGUAGUAGUAGUAGUAGUAGUAGUAGUAGUAGUAGUUUGGAUUUGAUAUCCCACCUUUCACUCCCCUUCAGGAGUCUCAAAGCGGCUAACAUUCUCCUUUCCCUUCCUCCCCCACAACAAACACUCUGUGAGGUGAGUGGGGCUGAGAGACUUCAAAGAAGUAUGACUGGCCCAAGGUCACCCAGCAGCUGCAUGUGGAGGAGCGGAGACGCAAACCCAGUUCCCCAGAUUAUGAGACUACCACUCUUAACCACUACACCACACUGGCUCUCACACCACACUGGCGCUCUCUCUCUCUCUCUCUCUCUCAACUGCUCCAAGAUCUCCUGGUGAAGUUUGCAGUUGCGUGAGGCUUUAAACCUGGAUCUCCCUGGCCUUAAUCCAGUACUGUAACCACUACUCACACUAGCUCUCCAGGAAUAUGCAUGUGUGGCAAAGAGGGGGAACCCUGCCCUCCAUGCCUUCAUCUGACUCUCCUUGUUGCAGGAAGAUGUUCCUCUUCCUCUGAGACGUAAGUAAAUGUCCAAGCUGGAGAUGGUGUAUCCUGAUUUUAUGAAUAUUUCCUCUCGAAAGCUUUGGUUGCUUUUUUGUGAUCAGUUGUUGCCAUCUGAAGCAGGUGACAAUUGUCAACACACAGAGAAACAGGGUAGGUAUGAAGCCAAUAGGAACUCUCCGGUGUGGCCUCUUAAAGAGAUAGAAGAGAGACCAAAUCUGCCUUCACUGAUGAGCCCUGCCAUUAUUUGACACGUUUGUUUAUAAGAUGCAGCAGGGGUAGGGAAGCUGUGGUUGUUCUGAUGAUGUUGGGAAUGAUGUGGAGGACCACACCUCUGGAGAUAGAGAGCUGCUUCUGGAGAACAAGCAGAACAAGAAACAUCUCUGUUUCAGUGAAUGUUUAUAUUGUACUUUUGCAUAGAAAUCACCCCAAAAGGAAAUCCAUUUCGACAUACAGAGAAACACAUCUGCCAAGUUUAAUUGUGCCCCUUCUUGGUUUUGCUCCUGUCUCACAAAAAAGCAGAUAGAAACAAAAGAGCCCUGCCUGAUCAGACCAAAGUUCAUGUAACUCAGCAUCCUGUUCUCACAGGGACAGUAUCCAACUUUCUGUUCCCUCUCUCUGUCCUUAUUACUACAGGUCUUACACUUAUUUGAAAGCCUAGUAUCAGGUAAGUAAGGUAAAGGGACCCCUGACCAUUAGGUCCAGUCGCGGAAGACUCUGGGGUUGCGGUGCCCAUCUCACUUUAUUGGCAGAGGGAGCUGGCGUACAGCUUCCGGGUCAUGUGGCCAGCAUGACUAAGCUGCUUCUGGCAAACUGGAGCAGCACACGGAAACGCCGUUUACCUUCCCGCCGGAGCGGUACCUAUUUAUCUACUUGCACUUUGACGUGCUUUCAAACUGCUAGGUUGGCAGGAGCUGGGACCGAGCAACGGGAGCUCACCCCGUCGCGGGGAUUUGAACCACCAACCUUCUGAUCAGCAAGCCCUAGGCUCUGUGGUUUAACCCAGUAUCCCAAAGGAAAUAUGCAGAAGGCAGAAUGCAUUGUGUCCACUUCCCCCAAUAUUCUGUCUUCUUUUUCUACUGAUAACAUCACCCUUCAGCCUUCUCAACAACAGUUUGGGUGUUGUCUUUGAGCCAACGUAUGUGCAAUUGCAUUUCUCAUAUCUGUUGUUAAAGGAAAAAACGGAGUCGUGGAGGGAUCUGGGACCCCGCCUAUCUGUGUUUCCUUUCUGUUCUCUUUAGUCCUUCCAUUCACCAAACAUUAAGCUUAUCAAACCUCCACUUCUCACGUGCACCAUGUGCUCUGUCUUAUCGCUCUACUUCCUCUCUCACGGCUCCUUAAAAUAUUUUGCUGGCUGCCUCUGCAGGUUUCACUUUCAGGUGGCAUCCUGACCAUUCAAUCUGGGGGAUUCAUUCAGGCAAGUGCUGCUGCAUUGCUCCAGCGCUUGAGAGCAGGACCAAAGCAAACAAGGCGCUGUUUGCUAUGAUCCUGCCAGCCACCUUUGCCUUUUGCUUUUUUCCUUUUCGUCUCAAAGCUCAGAGAUAUGCUUUGAGAGUGCAGAAGGCAAUCCAAGGCCUCAACAGAUCUUCGUUCACCCAGAAUCCUCAGUGGGAAUUCUGCACAUUAUUUUUUGUCAUGGAGACUACUCACUGGCGCCUUCUCCUGGCCAAAGAGGAGUUUUGCAAACACUGAGAAGUUCCAGUUGUGAAAAUAAAAAGCUUUAAGUAGGCUUUUGGUGUGAGCAGUGGAAAACUCGUAGGCUAAGAAAUUAUUAGAAACUAAUUGUUUCUCGUUUGCUUUACACUCCUGAUGGACUGACUUCUGUUUCUUCCUCCUCCUAUGAUCAGUAGCUUGUGCAACUUCCCCUUUCUCCAAAUUGUCUUUUCUUUUGGGUCAUGUUUUCAGAUUGUGUGCUUUCGGUAAGCAACUUGUCAUUUUUCUAUUCUUAUACAGCACCUGGCAUCUUAUUUAUGAAUAGAAUAUGAACUCUGUUUAGAAAUUGCUCCCCGGUUGUUUUUGAUUUUAUUUUUGUCCAUUAUUUGCAUUUCAGUUAUUCCCCAUAACAAGCACUCUUCAAAACUAUGGUCAAUGCAAUGCUCAGUCAUAGCAGAGGCUUUUAAUCAAAGUAGCACUGAAAUGAGAUGCUAUUUAGAGCCCACCCUUCCAAUACCUAGCAGAUUAAGCAAAUAAAAUAUUUUUGAAUAACUUAAGUACUCGAGAGAAAGGCAAGAGAAAGGUGAUGUGCUGUUGGGAUGCACAGAUCUGCCAGUUUCAGUUUCUCUUUUUUCCAGUCUUUAGUUUACUUUCCCCCAUUUCUGCAUCAGUUUGUUUGUUUUUUAAGUUGGUAUGAAGUUUUGUGCACAUGCCUCCCAAUAUACACAUUUUUACAAGCAACUGUGCUUAAAUGUGAUCAUGGACAUUAUUUCACUAUUACACAUUUCUCUAAAACAUACAUUUCUGAAUACAGUGGUACCUUAGGUUAAGAACUUAAUUCGUUCUGGAGGUCUGUUCUUAACCUGAAACUGUUCUUAACCUGAAGCACCACUUUAGCUAAUGAAGCACCACUCCUGCUGCCGCUGCGCCGCCGCUGCACAAUUUCUGUUCUCAUCCUGAAGCAAAGUUCUUAACCCAAGGUACUAUUUCUGGGUUAGCGGAGUCUGUAACCUGAAGCGUAUGUAACCCAAGAUACCACUGUACAUUUUCUUGGGUUGCAGAACUGCAACACAAAAUUCAGAGAUGUGAGGAUUUCAAGGUGAUAUCAGCAUUUCAGUUCUGGAACUACAAAUUCAGUAGGUUUGGGAUUAGCACAUGAACUGAAUUAAUUUCUCCCUUAUCCCUCACUGUAGUGCAGUGCUUAGAGGGGUGCCCUAGGUUUAGGGACCAAUGUUUUAACGCGUACUUGUAGCCACCAAGGUUAUGCAAUGUGCUUGGCAUCCAUCUGUUUCUAGAAACACUGGAUUGUCCCUCUGGGGGUGAAGUCAAACCACUGUGUUAGCAGCACCAAAGAGAUUAUAGGCUAAUCUAAGAUACGGUACUUGAUAAAUCUGUUAGGAAGAUGGAGGAGGGACCACAUUCUUUGUAUUGAGCUUUGGAAGAAGGAAAGGUUUUUAAAAAUGCAAAUAAAAUGUUAAUGCAAUUUACAGAAGAAACUACAAGGAUAAAAAACCCAGAGAACAUUUACUGCCAGCACCUCCCCGCCCCCUCUGAAAACAGCAUCUCCGUUGUUGCCUGUAUAGCGAAUUAAGACUUAAGCUGAGCUGCAAGCUUUCUACAAUUGGCAGUUGCCUUAGGUUAAUUCAACAUUGACAAGGUUAAUUUAAUAUUAACUGUUUUUCUGCUUUAAGGCAUUGCAUACAACAUUUUAAAAAGAAAUAUAAAUGGUGUGUCCCAUUCUCACCUGCCUCCGAGAUCCAGCUGGUGCUGUAAAAAGUUGAGAACUCUAGACAGGAGGCAGAAGGCAAAAUAGUUGCGUGUUCAGACCGAGACCUCCCCCCUAAAUAAAUUCACACUUGACUCAAAUUUUAGUUUGGUUUUUGGCAGAAUUUAGGCCGCAACUUUAUUGAUUACAGUAGGUGAGUGGUUACAUAGGCUAUGGUCGACUAGCUCCCUGCACCCUUGCAGGCAGCGCUGACCCAGGGCACCAGCAUAGGUCAGCCAAGGGUGAACACCUGGGUAGGUGAAAAGCCGGGAACAGACUAUGUUCACCACCCAGAUGCCCCCCUGGACUCAGGCACGGGCACAACCCCCUCCCGGGGGUUGAACAAACCAAUUGA